CACUCUUAAAAAUAGGUGUGUUGCAAAACACACAAAAUUGUGUUAUAUAGCACGUUAAGUGUGUUAUACAACACAUUUUACUCUUGAGAUUCGACAUAACACACCUUUGUGAGUUAAAUAACACACACAUGUGGGUUAUAUAACACACAGUGUAUAGUGCUAAACACACAGCAAUGGAGGUGAAUGUGUUAGAUAACACACUUUCAGAAAAACACACCUUUUGUACUGUGUUAGUUAGCACACCCUUUCUAUGAAACGUGUGUUAAUUAACCCAAGUUUAAAGAUAAACACACUUAAAUAGAAAAACACACUGCACAGAAUAAACACACUUAACCAACAAACACACUUUUCCAAAACACACAUCUUAAACUAACACACUUUUAUAAAACACGCUUUAUAGUAGCAAGCCUGAUCGCAGGCUAUACGGCUCGCGCGAUUACAGGUAUCGGCAAAUUACUAUUGCCAAAUUGGUAAACAUUUAGAGAUUUAUACAUUAAUUCGAGUAUUUAAAGCCCGUGGUCAAGUCCGUAUUGUUUACAUUUUGAAGUGCUAUAUUUGUAAAAUAAGACUAACACUUUUCUGGUUCGCAAUUGUAAAUGAAUAUAAACUAGAGUACAUUUCAAUUCAAAAAAGUUCAAGGUCAAGAUGCAAAAAUUGGGCAAUUUUUAUAUCUGUGGAGUGUUGGUCCCCUUUGUUAUGAGCAGAACGGACUUGAUAUGGUCUUUAAUACUGAAACAAUCAAAUAUUAUUUACUGGCUGAUUAACCAUUUCACAAAGGAAACAUUUGAAUUCAGAAGUGUUCACUGGAUAGUAUAACAGAAAUAGUUCCCAUGUAUCAUGUGUGUCAUACAUAUUGGAAACUGGAAAGUUAAAAGUAUGCGAGCAGCACAAGCAAUCAAAAUUGGACCUCAAAAUAUUGCAUUUCAAAUUUUAUAACAUAACAUUGUAACAC